AACGAACGCUGGCGGCGUGCUUAACACAUGCAAGUCGAACGCGAAAGGGACUUCGGUCCUGAGUAAAGUGGCGCACGGGUGAGUAACGUGUAGAUAACCUGUCUUCAUGUCUGGAAUAAUAACGCCGAAAGGGGUACUAAUACCGGAUAUUCUUGCUUUUCAUAAGUUAUGCAAGCAAAGGUGGCCUCUGCAUAUGCUACUGCAUGAAGAGGGGUCUGCGUACCAUUAGCUAGUAGGUGGGGUAAUGGCCUACCUAGGCGACGAUGGUUAGCGGGUCUGAGAGGAUGAUCCGCCACACUGGCACUGGAACACGGGCCAGACUCCUACGGGAGGCAGCAGUGAGGAAUAUUGCGCAAUGGGGGAAACCCUGACGCAGCGACGCCGCGUGAGUGAGGAAAGGCCUUCGGGUCGUAAAGCUCUGUCAAGAGGAAAGAAGUGUACAAUGGCUAAUACCUGUUGUAUUUGACGGUACCUCUAAAGGAAGCACCGGCUAACUCCGUGCCAGCAGCUGC
rnacentral:rRNA from 1 species